GAGUUUGAUCAUGGCUCAGAUUGAACGCUGGCGGCAGGCCUAACACAUGCAAGUCGAGCGGUAGAGAGAAGCUUGCUUCUCUUGAGAGCGGCGGACGGGUGAGUAAUGCCUAGGAAUCUGCCUGGUAGUGGGGGAUAACGCUCGGAAACGGACGCUAAUACCGCAUACGUCCUACGGGAGAAAGCAGGGGACCUUCGGGCCUUGCGCUAUCAGGUGAGCCUAGGUCGGAUUAGCUAGUUGGUGAGGUAAUGGCUCACCAAGGCGACGAUCCGUAACUGGUCUGAGAGGAUGAUCAGUCACACUGGAACUGAGACACGGUCCAGACUCCUACGGGAGGCAGCAGUGGGGAAUAUUGGACAAUGGGCGAAAGCCUGAUCCAGCCAUGCCGCGUGUGUGAAGAAGGUCUUCGGAUUGUAAAGCACUUUAAGUUGGGAGGAAGGGCAGUAAAUUAAUACUUUAGCUGUUUUGACGUUACCGACAGAAUAAGCACCGGCUAACUCUGUGCCAGCA
rnacentral:rRNA from 1 species